UACUCUACGUAAUAGUUCAUCAUUGUGUGAGCGUGCGACCCCAGGUCUAUUUGUUAUCUAUUUUUAUCUGUAUUUCGAUCUAUUUACUUUAUAUAGGCCAGGCUAGAAUAAUUUGAUUUAGUGUCUUUUCUUCUUGCAUAGGUCAGUGCUGUGUGUUUGUAGUUUCCGCUAUUUAUAACUUCUGCUAGUUUGAGUCUUUUUCUGUUAUUUGUGUUUUACUCGUAGAGGAAAAGUAGUUUUAAAAAUAGUUAACUAGCUUUAGAGUUGUUGGCACUGUUUCCAUUUCUUUGUCCCUGAUUAGUUCUACAUAUUUUUGUCUUUAGCGCUUAGGUUAGGUUAGUAGUUAUUUUUUAAUUUCAGUCUAAGUGUAAGUCUAGAAGCUGUAUAGGGUCCCUGUACGAGUUUAGAACAUAAUUAUCUUUCUUCUUCCUUUUUGUAUUUUUGUAAGAUUUAAAUUUUAAGGUUCUCUUUUUUAUGCUGUUUAAUUUGGUAUAUAAUGUUGUGUAGUCCGUGUCUUUAGUAAUUUUCUAGAUUUUAUUAUAGCGUACGGCUAGGUACAAAUUAGGCGUGUCAGUAGUCCAGUUUAGUUUUAGAUAAUUAGCGUGACGUCAUGCUCUCCGAUAUGUUCGCGCUGACCAGUUAUAGCUAGCUCCGGAACCACGUUGAGCCCUCUUUUGUCUUGACCAGUGGUCAGUGCCGACAGUAGUGCCGGUGUAGAGUUAAUUGUGUGUAGUGUAAUUUCAACUGGGACCGCCUGUAAGUCGAGAGAAUGUUUUAUUUCUUUUUAUUUUAUUAGCUUAGAUUUAUAUUGAUUAUUUCUAGAUUAAUUGUUAUAAUCUAGAUUUGGAUGGAUUGGGGCCGCACCCCAGUUCUGUCUAAUUUCAUUGGCCAUUUUCUAGACUGUGCCGGAAACUCGUUAACCUGGGUGGCUUAACCCGCAGCCAUCUUGAAUUAAUACAUAUAUUUUUUUCUUUAUUUCUUUAUUUUAUUUGUAAAUUUUUUAUUAUCUUAUAUUCUUAUGUAUGAUUAUUCUUAUUAGUGAUUUUUUUGGUAGUUUCUGAAGCGUAGUUGGCAGAUAAUGUUAUUUUUAAUUUUGUUGUACUUUUAUGUACAAGAUGGCGGCUGGCAUAAGCCGGCUCAUUAACCUAGAUAGUAGAUCUAAUGUGUAUUGUUGUGACUUUUAUCUGAUGUUAUUGUCUACCCAGCCUGUGUGGGUUGUGGCGUAGACUUGACCUAAAUUCUGUGGCUUUUAUUAGCUACAUGGAGGCUAAUUACUAAUAUGUAAUUACCUCAUGUCUCUAGGCUAUCCUUACUGUUGUUAGUCUACUGCCUGUAGGCUGUUGUUAGUCUACUGCCUGUAGGCUGUUGUUAGUCUACUGCCAUUAGUCUGCCAUCGCCUCCUUGUACCUUUUUUUGUUAUAUUUUAUUAAUUUUAAGCUUAGGUCUAGGGUAGUAAUUGUAGUGAUUUAGUUAGAUAGUUGGUUUGGUUAGUCUGUUAGUGUUUGUAGAUUUAGAGGGUUUUAGUUAGUUGCUGAGUUCAGUUGUAGUGUUAGUGUAGCUCUAUAUGUUAUAUUUUAUUAUUGAUUUAUUUGUGUAUGUAAAUAAAGUUUCUUUUUGUUUUAUUUAUCCUAAAGUAAAA